rfam:Candida albicans SC5314 chromosome 4 Ctg19-10162, whole genome shotgun sequence.
GUCUUUAUGCAGGGGCAUUACGUGUAUCAGUGAGGAUUCGUCCGAGAUCAUGUUUUUGCUGGUUGAAAACUUAAACCUGACAACUUCUUGAAUGCUAUAGUAUUUUACUUGUGUGUUUAAGAGAAUUUUUGGAACCAUUUUUUUUCAUAAUCAUCAAACAUGUGGGAAAUCACGAAUAAUG